CCGGGCUUAGCUCAGUUUGGCAGAGUCCUCGCCUUGGACGCGAGUUGUCGCAGGUUCGAAUCCUGCAGCCCGGACCA
rnacentral:tRNA from 1 species